UUAGCNAGCUAGAUAGUCGCUCCCAAUUUGNAAUAGNANUUUGGGGGAGGAAAGUCCGAGCACCGUAGAACAAAAUGCCUCAUAAUUAGAGGGGCUUUUUUAUAGAGUACGGAAAGUGCAACAGAAAACAAACCGCUUUGGUAAAACAAAGUAAGGGUGAAAAGGUAGUGUAAGAGACUNCCAGUCUUGAGAAAAAUAUCAAGAGCUUGUAAACCCCAUUUGGUGNAAGAUUGAAUAGGUUUCAAGGUGUUGUUCGCACCGNUUGAGAAACGGGUAAAUUGCUUGAGUUUAGUGGCGACNCUAANCCUAGAUAAAUGGCUAUCACUAUGAUNAUUAUCAUNNGACAGAACUCGGCUUACAGGCUNGCUAAUNUU
rnacentral:RNase_P_RNA from 1 species